GUUCCAGACUCCUACGGGAGGCAGCAGUGGGGAAUAUUGCACAAUGGGGGAAACCCUGAUGCAGCGACGCCGCGUGGGCGACGAAGCGCUCCGGCGCGUAAAUCCCUGUCAGCAGGGAAGAACAAAGACAGUACCUGACCAAGAAGCCCCGGCUAACUACGUGCCAGCAGCCGCGGUAAUACGUAGGGGGCAAGCGUUAUCCGGAUUCACUGGGUGUAAAGGGAGCGUAGACGGCGGCGCAAGUCUGGAGUGAAAGCCCACGGCCCAACCGUGGGACUGCUCUGGAAACUGUGCGGCUUGAGUGCGGGAGGGGCAGGCGGAAUUCCUAGUGUAGCGGUGAAAUGCGUAGAUAUUAGGAGGAACACCGGCGGCGAAGGCGGCCUGCUGGACCGUAACUGACGUUGAGGCUCGAAAGCGUGGGGAGCAAACAGGAUUAGAUACCCUGGUA
rnacentral:rRNA from 1 species